rnacentral:rRNA from 1 species
AAUAUUGGACAAUGGGCGAAAGCCUGAUCCAGCCAUGCCGCGUGUGUGAAGAAGGUCUUCGGAUUGUAAAGCCCUUUACGUUGGGAGGAGGGGUUGUAGGUUAAUACCCUGCAAUUUUGACGUUACCAACAGAAUAAGUACCGGCUAACUUCGUGCUGGCAGCCGCGGUAAUACGAAAGUUGCAAGCGUUAAUCGGAAUUACUGGGCGUAAAGCGCGCGUAGGUGGUUCGUUAAGUUAGAAGUGAAAGCCACGGGCUUAACCUGGGAAGUGCUUUCAAAACUGACGGGCUAGAGUACGUUAGAGGGUAGUGGAAUGUCCUGUGUAGCGGUGAAAUGAGUAGAUAUAGGAAGGAACGUCAGUGGCGAAGGCGACUACCUGGACUGAUACUGACACUGAGGUGCGAAAGCGUGGGGGGCGAACAGG